rnacentral:rRNA from 1 species
GAUGAACGCUGGCGGCGUGCUUAACACAUGCAAGUCGAACGAUGAAGCCCAGCUUGCUGGGUGGAUUAGUGGCGAACGGGUGAGUAACACGUGAGUAACCUGCCCUUGACUCUGGGAUAAGCCUGGGAAACUGGGUCUAAUACUGGAUAUGACUUCUCAUCGCAUGGUGGGGGGGGGAAAGAUUUAUUGGUCUUGGAUGGACUCGCGGCCUAUCAGCUUGUUGGUGGGGUAAUGGCUCACCAAGGCGACGACGGGUAGCCGGCCGGAGAGGGUGACCGGCCACCCUGGGACUGAGACACGGCCCAGACUCCUACGGGAGGCAGCAGUGGGGAAUAUUGCACAAUGGGCGGAAGCCUGAUGCAGCGACGCCGCGUGAGGGAUGACGGCCUUCGGGUUGUAAACCUCUUUCAGUAGGGAAGAAGCGAGAGUGACGGUACCUGCAGAAGAAGCGCCGGCUAACUACGUG